CAAUAAGCGGAGGAAAAGAAACCAACAGGGAUUGCCCCAGUAACGGCGAGUGAAGCGGCAACAGCUCAAAUUUGAAAUCUGGCCCCCGGGUCCGAGUUGUAAUUUGCAGAGGACGCUUUUGGCGAGGUGCCUUCCGAGUUCCCUGGAACGGGACGCCACAGAGGGUGAGAGCCCCGUCUGGUCGGACACCGAGCCUCUGUAAAGCUCCUUCGACGAGUCGAGUAGUUUGGGAAUGCUGCUCAAAAUGGGAGGUAUAUGUCUUCUAAAGCUAAAUAUUGGCCAGAGACCGAUAGCGCACAAGUAGAGUGAUCGAAAGAUGAAAAGCACUUUGAAAAGAGGGUUAAAAAGUACGUGAAAUUGUUGAAAGGGAAGCGCCCAUGACCAGACUUGGGCCCGGUGAAUCACCCAGCGUUCUCGCUGGUGCACUUUGCCGGGCACAGGCCAGCAUCAGUUUGGCGCGGGGGAAAAAGGCUCUGGGAAUGUGGCUCCCCCGGGAGUGUUAUAGCCCACCGCGUAAUACCCUGCGCCGGACUGAGGUACGCGCACCGCAAGGAUGCUGGCGUAAUGGUCAUCAGCGACCCGUCUUGAAACACGGACCAAGGAGUCGUCUUCGUAUGCGAGUGUUCGGGUGCCAAACCCCUACGCGUAAUGAAAGUGAACGCAGGUGAGAGCUUCGGCGCAUCAUCGACCGAUCCUGAUGUUCUCGGAUGGAUUUGAGUAAGAGCAUACGGGGCCGGACCCGAAAGAAGGUGAACUAUGCCUGUAUAGGGUGAAGCCAGAGGAAACUCUGGUGGAGGCUCGCAGCGGUUCUGACGUGCGAAUCGAUCGUCAAAUAUGGGCAUGGGGGCGAAAGACUAAUCGAACCUUCUAGUAGCUGGUUCCGCA
rnacentral:rRNA from 1 species